AAGAUUUUGGGAGUGACUGAAAAAACUAAUAGGAUUAUUAGAGUUAACAUCAUGCAGAACAACAGAACUUGAACAACUGAGGCAGAGGAAUUUUUAAGUCCGUUGUUAAAACUAGGUUUUUGUUGUUGUUUUGUUUAACACGUGUCCCAAGGAUUGUUUCUCUUAACUCUUUGUCACAGCUGCAAUUAAGGGCUAAGAAAGCUCCCACCUAGAAUCCUCCACCAAAAUCUGGGAAGACAGGACAUUUCUGUGGUUAAAAUAAGCAAGAAAAAAAUAUUUCAGACCGCCAUUCUAUUUUAUAAAGAAACUACCCUUUUCUAUUUAACUAAAAUUUCUUUCAAAGGGGAACGUAGAAGCAUCAGAAUUGCCAUACCAGAUCAGACCAGUGGCCUACUCAGUCCUGUGUCUGAUCUCUGAUAGCAGUUAUUACUGGGUGGUUAGAAGAAAGUUUAAGAACCCCUAUAGUGAGCAGUUAUGGAAUAACUUGCACACAAGGGGAAACUUCUUUCUACCUCCAGUAAGAGGUUGGUGUAUGUCCUGAAGCGUGAGGGUUUAUAUCCCCUGCAAAAGCGAUGCAUUUUUAAAAAUGUUUACAGUUGUGUAAUUCUGGUUGUUCUCCUCCUCCACCCAAAUGUCCAAUCCUUUAAAAAAAAAUCUGCUAUGGUCUUUGUCCCAACAAUAUUUAUGGCAAAAAGUUUCACAGGUCAAUUGUGUGUUAUAGGAAAGUAUUUCCCUUUAUUUAUUUUAAAUUUACAGUGUCUCAAUUUAAUUGAAUGUCUCCUCCUUUUUGUGUAAGAAGAAGGAGUGAAUUGAAACGCUUUUCAGUUUUAUGCUCUUUCAUGUUGUCUUCAAAUACUUUUGUAGCACUAUCAUGUAAAUCAGCACUCGUAUUUGAACUUGGUACCAAACUUUGGUUUUAAGAGACAGUGUACCUCAUAUAUCCCCAAAUACAUAAGCAUUUAAGACUCCAGAAAGAGGUGAUGAAAAAUACUCAUAUUAUGUUAAUUGGUCACUUGUAGAGAAUAAUUGACACUACACAAUAGACUAGAGCAUUUAAGGUGAAGGAUUCAGGAUUACAAACUCAUAAUUAGUUUAGCCACUAGCGCUCUUUGCUAAAUCUCUAAAUACCAAUUAUACAGGAUUAUAUUUAAUCCAGAAUAUUGGAAGAAAUAAGUAGUGAUCACUCCAGAUUUUUAAAUCCCUAACUUGUAAGAAAAAAACAUACCAGAGGACACAAAGUAUGUUUUAGCAUACUUCUUAAUUUUAAAUGGCAUUUAGAUUUUGGGCUGAGGUGGUAGUGAGGAAAGCAGGCUAAGACCUAUAAAAGUGAAGAAAUGUGAGAGCAAUAUUAGGAGUCCUUAUGGACAGCAUAUACAAAGGGUUUCAUUAAGGCAACACGUGAAUACAUGAGGUGUAUUGAGGAUAGGAUUCCUCAGGCUGUUACUCUGCCCUGAACUCUUUGAUAUAUGUAAUAAUGGUGUGCCUCAAAUGCACUUUUUUUGUUAAAUGAAGGAUUUUCUUAAUUGUAUUUAGACUGUAAAGGUACUUCAGAGCAACAAAGUUUUGUAAGAGGCAGCUGAUGCCUAGACAUCCAUCACCUCCAAACUAUGACCCGGCACCAAGAAGAUAAUGCAGUGAUUAAUACUACCUCACCUAGGAGAGCAGUGUGAUCCUGGACCAACAAGUACAUGAAUGUGUUGUCCUCACGUCCUGCUGCUGCAUGUAACUGUGCUGAAGAGUGGACAGUUGCCAUGGAUGACACAGGGAAGCUUCUGAAUCAAACAGAAGAGGUGAUGAUUCACAAGACAAGAUCUGGCCCAAACUACAGAAACAUUUGAGAACACUUGGGAGUUACCACAUAGUUUCUGUGUUGCUAAAUUUCAGUGAAUCUUGUUUAUACGUACAGAUAAUGUAUUAGUAUUGUAGAAAUGCUAUAUUGACUAUUCACAGCCUACUGUAGGGCAACAGCUUCUUCAUCAACACUCUGUUCACACAUAAGAAUUAGCAAACAAAGAAUUAUUUUUAGCUAUGCCUAAAUGUCCCUGAUAGCAUCGCUGGAAAGUUCUUUAGUACUGGCCCAUCCACAGUAAGACUAGUGUCUGACUGUCUCAGAUAUUUGAAUAUGCUAAUGAGUAUUUCAACUGCAUAAUGUAUAUAAAAGAUACUGACUGUGCCUUUUUUGGGAGGGGUGGAAAGAGUUGAGGUUUUUGGGGGGCAUGAAGUAAAGAAUAGGAUUGAAUCUAAAAAUAUCCAAAAUCAUGGUGGGAGAGGGGGUAUAAUUCAAAUGCAUCUUAUUUAAGGUUAUCUGACCUCUCUGGUUCUGACAACACUGAUGGGUUUUUAAAAAUAAAUGUAUUCCUACUGCAGCCCUCAGCUUUAAUUCCUCAUGUGCGUCUCAGCCCAUCAAGUUCUGGCCUGAAGUUAUCCCUUGUUAUGGAUCUACUGCAACAACCAACUGGAAAGUUUCAGCUCUUUCUCCGCCUGCAGUGCCAUUGGUAUCAAGACUUCCUUUCCAUUGCUACAACUCUUUUUAGCACAGGCCUGCACAAUAUCAGCUUGGUAUCCAAGAAAUUCUUCAGAUUAUGCCUUCCAGAAACAAUCUAAAACCGUACUUUAAUGUUGCUGACUGUCCAGUAUAUGUCCUAUCACUUUCCUUGAACAACACCUGUUAAUUACCAAUGCUGUAAGUUGCUCUACAGGAUCAAGAGAACAAAUGGAUACACACAUUUCUGAGCCACCUAGCAUUAAGGCCAUGUCAUAACAUGAGAGAAUAUUACCCGCACCUAGGACCCUAGAUAUCACAAGGUAACUUUAGCUCCUACUGCAGUGCCAUAGGUUACUGUGAGUUAUCCAAAUAUUAGUGUUUAAAUAGGAGCAAAAAUGAAAUAAGAGUUGGUUAUUUUAUUAUCAGUUGUAUUU